GGCACCACGUGGAUCAGUGGUAGAGCCGGCGCACCAUAGGCAGAGGCUGCAGUCCUCAAUGCAGCUGCCCCGGGUUCGAUUCCUGGCCCUGGGCCA